rnacentral:misc_RNA from 1 species
CUUGAAUAAUUUCUUACAAAUGUAUUUUAAUGUAUACCUAGUUUUUAUUUUGUCACGAAGCAUGCUGUUUAUUUUUACGUAAAACAUUUGCGAUACAAUUUUCUAUUAAUUAUAUGCGAUUAUUGGUUAAUUUGCUUAUAAUUUAUGUAUUUUUAUAAAAUUAUAUUUCCUAUUUAAUAAUUCUGAAUUGCAUGAAGGAUUUCUUUGCUCGCAAUUAGUUGAGAUUGAAAUACGAUAAAAAAAACAAGGGAAUUGAUUACUGCGAUAAUAAUUGAGCAUUUCUUAAUUAAUCGAGAUGUAUGGACUAUCAUUGGAAUAAGCUUACUACUAAGUAUUUAUAUAAAUAUUUUAUACCGAUGGUUGGGUUUAUUUAUAUAAAACCUAACAACGUAAAGAAGCUGUGUUCAAUCGAAUUUAUAGAACGAAAAAGCCCAUCUUCUGAAAAAU